GAUGAACGCUAGCUACAGGCUUAACACAUGCAAGUCGAGGGGUAACGAGAGGAAAGCUUGCUUUCCUUGUCGACGACCGGCGCACGGGUGAGUAACGCGUAUCCAACCUGCCCCCAACUAAGGAAUAACCUUGCGAAAGUAAGACUAAUACCUUAUAAUUUCCUCAGAUGUCAUCUGACGAGGAAUAAAGAUUUAUCGGUUGUGGAUGGGGAUGCGUCUGAUUAGCGUGUUGGCGGGGUAACGGCCCACCAAGGCAACGAUCAGUAGGGGUUCUGAGAGGCAGGUCCCCCACAUUGGAACUGAGACCCAGUCCAAACUCCUACGGGAGGCAGCAGUGAGGAAUAUUGGUCAAUGGGCGAAUGCCUGAACCAGCCAAGUAGCGUGCAGGAUGACGGCCCUAUGGGUUGUAAACUGCUUUUAUACAGUAAUAAAGUUAACCACGUGUGGUUAUUUGUAGGUACUGUAUGAAUAAGGACCGGCUAAUUCCGUGCCAGCCGCCGCCGUAA
rnacentral:rRNA from 1 species